UUAAAGGUUAUGUACGAUGGUUUUGGGGUUUAACAAAAUUUUAAGGCACAAUCGCGUGCUUUAUUCAGAACAUUCAAGUAAUAAAAUACAUUUUAAGCCGAAGCUUGUUUUUGGGUGAAACAACAGUGAAUAACUCCGAUUACCUCUGAUAAAAAAGUGUCUAUCAAGUUAAAAGUUGGGAAUACCAAACCCAAGUCCAAGAAUUUUGUUCAAAACGUUGAUCAAACCUCUGAUAUGAAAGAUUUGUAAGAAGAAAAGCAUAUUAUUAGAAUCUGUUAAUCAUGUUCAUGGUGUUUGUGGCAGUUAUCAAUAUACAAAUAAAACUUUUGAAUGUUGCACAAAAGCCACACCCAUAGUUUUAAUUAACAAAAUUGUUAUGAAACAAUUGCACCCUUGUACAAGGGUAAUGUGCCUCACAACUUAUUGUUUCCAACUGAAACGCAGUUGCCUCAAGGAAACCCUUAGUGGUGCAGUGGUUUAGUUGAUUGACUAAAAAUCGGAAAACCCUCCAAUAUAUUCCGUAGAUAUUUAACUUAUACUGGAUAACAAGAUUGUUUUAUUACCUUUUGGUAAAUUUCAAAGUGAUAGGAGUUUGUGAUACAACGUGUUUUGGUGUUGUUCAUAAAAUCAUUUAAAAGAAAAUUUUGCUCCUAUGAAUAAGGUCACAAGCCGGCCUAUUUAGGGGGAAGCAAACCCAAGUUGAUCCUUUCUUUGGUUUUGAGCAAGAACGAAUAUUGUUGGAUAAAAUUUCCGGAUUCUACUGACGUUGCCUGCAGAUGCUUUUAUUUGAGUUGAUCAUAUCUGAUAGAUUUGCAAUUACCUUUUAUGAGUAAAUUCUUCAAAAUAAAAGUAUUUUUCUUA